rnacentral:rRNA from 1 species
GACGAACGCUGGCGGCGUGCUUAACACAUGCAAGUCGAACGGAAAGGCCCUGCUUUUGUGGGGUGCUCGAGUGGCGAACGGGUGAGUAACACGUGAGUAACCUGCCCUUGACUUUGGGAUAACUUCAGGAAACUGGGGCUAAUACCGGAUAGGAGCUCCUGCUGCAUGGUGGGGGUUGGAAAGUUUCGGCGGUUGGGGAUGGACUCGCGGCUUAUCAGCUUGUUGGUGGGGUAGUGGCUUACCAAGGCUUUGACGGGUAGCCGGCCUGAGAGGGUGACCGGCCACAUGGGGAUGGAGAGCCGCCCCAGCCUCCUCGGGGGGGAGGAGGGGGGAAAUAUGGAACAGGGGGGGGAGGCUGGAGGCACAACCCCGGGGGGGGGGAGGCCGCCCUCGGGUGGGAAACCGGUUUCCCCUGGGGACGAGGGGUGGGGGAGGGUAAGGGGAAAAGAGCCCCCGGCAAACUACG